rnacentral:lncRNA from 1 species
GGCAGUUGUGGAUGUGCUGACUGUGGAGUAGAUGGUUGAAGAACUGAGGCUGGGAGUACUCUCUGAGGGGGUCUCAGUGGUGGUGAUUGAAGAACUGAAGCUGGGAGUACUGUGUGAGGUGGUCUCCGUGGUGGUGAUCGAAGAAGUGAAGCUGGGAGUACUGUGUGAGGGGGUCUCGGUGGUGGUGAUCAAAGAAGUGAAGCUGGGAGUACUGUGGGAUGUGGUCUCGGUGGUGGUGAUUGAAGAAGUGAAGCUGGGAGUAUUGUGGGAUGUGGUCUCGGUGGUGGUGAUCGAAGAAGUGAAGCUGGGAGAGCUGUGUGAGGUGAUCUCAGUGGUGGUGGU